rnacentral:rRNA from 1 species
AUUGAACGCUGGCGGCAGGCCUAACACAUGCACGUCGAGCGGGGUUUUCGGACCUAGCGGCGGACGGGUGAGUAAUGCGUAGGAAGCUACCCGAUAGAGGGGGAUACCAGUUGGAAACGACUGUUAAUACCGCAUAAUGUCUACGGACCAAAGCGUGGGACCUUCGGGCCCCAUGCUAUCGGAUGCGCCUCCGUGUGGAUUAGCUAGUUGGUGGGGUAAUGGCUCACCAAGGCGACGAUCCCUAGCUGGUGUGAGAGGAUGAACAGCCACACUGGAACUGAGAAACGGUCCAAACUCCGUCGGGAGGCGGCAGUGGGGAAUAUUGGACAAUGGGCGCAAGCCUGAGCCAGCCAUGCCGCGUGUGUGAAGAAGGCCUUCGGGUUGUAAAGCACUUUCAGUAGGGAGGAAGCGUUGUGUGUUAAUAGUACACAGCGUUGACGUUACCUACAGAAGAAGCACCGGCUAACUCUGUGCCAGCCGCCGCGGUAAGAC